AUUGAACGCUGGCGGCAUGCCUUACACAUGCAAGUCGAACGGCAGCACGGGUGCUUGCACCUGGUGGCGAGUGGCGAACGGGUGAGUAAUACAUCGGAACAUGUCCUGUAGUGGGGGAUAGCCCGGCGAAAGCCGGAUUAAUACCGCAUACGACCUACGGAUGAAAGCGGGGGACCUUCGGGCCUCGCGCUAUAGGGUUGGCCGAUGGCUGUUUAGCUAGUUGGUGGGGUAAAGGCCUACCAAGGCGACGAUCAGUAGCUGGUCUGAGAGGACGACCAGCCACACUGGGACUGAGACACGGCCCAGACUCCUACGGGAGGCAGCAGUGGGGAAUUUUGGACAAUGGGCGAAAGCCUGAUCCAGCAAUGCCGCGUGUGUGAAGAAGGCCUUCGGGUUGUAAAGCACUUUUGUCCGGAAAGAAAUCCUUGGCCCUAAUACGGUCGGGGGAUGACGGUACCGGAAGAAUAAGCACCGGCUAACUACGUG
rnacentral:rRNA from 1 species